rnacentral:rRNA from 1 species
UACGUAGGUGACAAGCGUUGUCCGGAUUUACUGCGUAAAGAGCGCGCAGGCGGUCGUUCAAGUCGAGUGUGAAAGCCCCCGGCUCAACUGGGGAGGGUCAUUCGAUACUGAUCGACUCGAAGGCAGGAGAGGGAAGUGGAAUUCCCGGUGUAGUGGUGAAAUGCGUAGAUAUCGGGGGGAACACCAGUGGCGAAGGCGACUUCCUGGCCUGUUCUUGACGCUGAGGCGCGAAAGCUAGGGGAGCAAACGGG